AGAACGAACGCUGGCGGCAGGCUUAACACAUGCAAGUCGAACGAACUGAGUCCUUCGGGACUCUAUGUUAGUGGCGCACGGGUGAGUAACGCGUGGGAACGUACCCUUUAGUACGGAAUAACUGAGGGAAACUUCAGCUAAUACCGUAUGACUCCUUCGGGAGAAAGAUUUAUCGCUAAAGGAUCGGCCCGCGUCAGAUUAGGUAGUUGGUGAGGUAACGGCUCACCAAGCCGACGAUCUGUAGCUGGUCUGAGAGGAUGAUCAGCCACACUGGGACUGAGACACGGUCCAGACUCCUACGGGAGGCAGCAGUGGGGAAUCUUGCACAAUGGGCGAAAGCCUGAUGCAGCGACGCCGCGUGGGGGAUGAAGCUUCUCGGAGUGUAAACCCCUUUCGACCCGGACGAAACCUCGCAAGAGGAUUGACGGUACGGGUAUAAGAAGCCCGGCUAACUACGCGCCAGCAGCCGC
rnacentral:rRNA from 1 species